AACACAUGCAAGUCGCACGAGAAAGGGGCUUCGGCUCUGAGUAAAGUGGCGCACGGGUGAGUAACACGUGACUUAUCUACCUCCGAGUGGGGAAUAACUGAGGGAAACCUUAGCUAAUACCGCAUAACACUUACGAGUCAAAGCAGCAAUGUGCUUGGAGAGGAGGUCGCGGCAGAUUAGCUAGUUGGCGGGGUAAUGGCCCACCAAGGCGAUGAUCUGUAUCCGGCCUGAGAGGGCGCACGGACACACUGGAACUGAAACACGGUCCAGACUCCUACGGGAGGCAGCAGUGGGGAAUUUUGCGCAAUGGGGGAAACCCUGACGCAGCAACGCCGCGUGGAGGAUGAAGUCUCUUGGGACGUAAACUCCUUUCGAUCGGGACGAUAAUGACGGUACCGAUAGAAGAAGCCCCGGCUAACUUCGUGCCAGCAGCCGCGGUAAUACGAGGGGGGCAAGCGUUGUUCGGAAUUAUUGGGCGUAAAGGGCGCGUAGGCGGUUUGGCAAGUUUGGUGUGAAAUCUUCGGGCUCAACUCGAAGUCUGCACCGAAAACUGCCGGGCUUGAGUAUGGGAGAGGUGAGUGGAAUUUCCGGUGUAGCGGUGAAAUGCGUAGAUAUCGGAAGGAACACCUGUGGCGAAAGCGGCUCACUGGACCAUUACUGACGCUGAGGCGCGAAAGCUAGGGGGGCAAACAGGAUUAGAUACCCUGGUAGUCCUAGCCCUAAACGAUGAUUGCUUGAUGUGGCAGGUACCCAAUCCUGCCGUGUCGAAGCUAACGCGAUAAGCAAUCCGCCUGGGGAGUACGGUCGCAAGGCUGAAACUCAAAGGAAUUGACGGGGGCCCGCACAAGCGGUGGAGCAUGUGGUUUAAUUCGACGCAACGCGAAGAACCUUACCUGGGCUCGAAAUGUACGGGAAUCACUUAGAAAUAGGUGCGCCUAGCAAUAGGCCCGUAUAUAGGUGCUGCAUGGCUGUCGUCAGCUCGUGUCGUGGGAUGUUGGGUUAAGUCCCGCAACGAGCGCAACCCUUAUCUCCAGUUGCUACCAUUUAGUUGAGCACUCUGGCGAAACCGCCUCGGAUAACGGGGAGGAAGGUGGGGAUGACGUCAAGUCCUCAUGGCCUUUAUGUCCAGGGCUACACACGUGCUACAAUGGCCGGUACAAACCGCUGCGAACCCGCGAGGGGGAGCCAAUCGGAAAAAGCCGGCCUCAGUUCGGAUUGGAGUCUGCAACUCGACUCCAUGAAGCUGGAAUCGCUAGUAAUCGCAGAUCAGAAUGCUGCGGUGAAUACGUUCCCGGGUCUUGUACACACCG
rnacentral:rRNA from 1 species